CCUACGGGAGACAGCAGUGGGGAAUAUUGCACAAUGGGGGAAACCCUGAUGCAGCGACGCCGCGUGAGUGAAGAAGUAAUUCGUUACGUAAAGCUCUAUCAGCAGGGAAGAAACACUGACCUUACGGUCAGCAGACGGUACCUGAGUAAGAAGCCCCGGCUAACUACGUCCCAGCAGCCGCGGUAAUACGUAGGGGGCAAGCGUUAUCCGGAUUUACUGGGUGUAAAGGGAGCGUAGACGGUGCGCCAAGUCUGGAGUGAAAUGCCGAAGCUUAACUGGGGAACUGCUUUGGAAACUGGCGAACUAGAGUGCGGGAGGGGUAAGCGGAAUUCCUAGUGUAGCGGUGAAAUGCGUAGAUAUUAGGAGGAACACCGGUGGCGAAGGCGGCUUACUGGACCGUAACUGACGUUGAGGCUCGAAAGCGUGGGGAGCAAACAGGAUUAGAUACCCCGGUAGUC
rnacentral:rRNA from 1 species